UUGAGGAAUAUUGCGCAAUGGAGGCAACUCUGACGCAGCCAUGCCGCGUGCAGGAAGAAGGCGCUACGCGUUGUAAACUGCUUUUAACCGGGAAGAAACCCCAGGACGUGUCCUGGGUUGACGGUACCGGAGGAAUAAGCACCGGCUAACUUCGUGCCAGCAGCCGCGGUAAUACGAAGGGUGCAAGCGUUAUCCGGAUUCAUUGGGUUUAAAGGGUGCGUAGGCGGAGCGUUAAGUCAGUGGUGAAAUCCUGCAGCUUAACUGUAGACUUGCCAUUGAUACUGGCGCUCUUGAGUGCGCUUGAAGUGGGCGGAAUGUGCCGUGUAGCGGUGAAAUGCUUAGAUAUGGCACAGAACACCAAUUGCGAAGGCAGCUCACUAAGGCGAUACUGACGCUGAGGCACGAAAGCGUGGGGAUCGAACAGGAUUAGAUACCCUGGUAGUCC
rnacentral:rRNA from 1 species